rnacentral:snoRNA from 1 species
AUUUCCCGGCAACCAAUGAAAAAGACGGAGGAAAAGCUGACCCCUUGCCAGCGGGGGCUGAGGCGAUGCCCCUCACAGUGAAUCUGGAGGUUCUCGGUUG